rnacentral:rRNA from 1 species
GACGAACGCUGGCGGCGUGCCUAAUACAUGCAAGUAGAACGCUGAAGGAGGAGCUUCCUUCUCCGGAUGAGUUGCGAACGGGUGAGUAACGCGUAGGUAACCUGCCUGGUAGCGGGGGAUAACUAUUGGAAACGAUAGCUAAUACCGCAUAACAGUAGAUAUCGCAUGAUAUCUGCUUGAAAGGUGCAAUUGCAUCACUACCAGAUGGACCUGCGUUGUAUUAGCUAGUUGGUGAGGUAACGGCUCACCAAGGCGACGAUACAUAGCCGACCUGAGAGGGUGAUCGGCCACACUGGGACUGAGACACGGCCCAGACUCCUACGGGAGGCAGCAGUAGGGAAUCUUCGGCAAUGGACGGAAGUCUGACCGAGCAACGCCGCGUGAGUGAAGAAGGUUUUCGGAUCGUAAAGCUCUGUUGUAAGAGAAGAACGAGUGUGAGAGUGGAAAGUUCACACUGUGACGGUAUCUUACCAGAAAGGGACGGCUAACUACGUG